AUAUCAGUCAUGCAUAGCAUAUCAAUAAGCGGAGGAAAAGAAACUAACAAGGAUUCCCUUAGUAACGGCGAGUGAAGCGGGAAGAGCUCAAAUUUGAAAUCUUCAAGGUUCUACCUUGACGAAUUGUAGUUUAUAGAAGUGUUUUCUGUUAGUAGGAGUGGCAAAAGUUCUUUGGAAUAGGACAUCAUAGAGGGUGAGAAUCCCGUAUUUGGUCAUUCCUCCUAGCGUUGUGAUACACUUUCAACGAGUCGGAUUGUUUGGGAAUGCAGUCCAAAAUGGGUGGUAAAUUUCAUCUAAAGCUAAAUAUUGGCGAGAGACCGAUAGCGAACAAGUACCGUGAGGGAAAGAUGAAAAGAACUUUGAAAAGAGAGUUAAACAGUACGUGAAAUUGUCAAAAGGGAAGCGUUUGACACCAGUGUUGUUUUUCCGAAAAUCAAUUACGAAUGUUUUAUUUUUGAGAAGUUAUGACUUCAUCGGCUUGCUUCCUUUCUUUAUGAAACUUUCUUAAUGCACUUUUCGGUUAACAAGUCAACAUCAAUUUCUUUUGUUGUAAAAGGGUAUGAGGAAGGUGGCUUUCUUUUCGGAGAAAGUGUUUAUAGCCUUGUAGCCUCUGCAAUCGGAGAGAUUGAGGUCUGCAGCGUAGAUCCUUCGGGGUUAGAUACAUUUGUGCUAAGUUAUAGCUUUUCAUAGACAACUUGUUGACUAUGUUAGUCUUGUAGCUUACUCGCUUAUGCUAUUUUACCUACGCUUAGGAUGUUGAUCUCUCACAGUCGAGC
rnacentral:rRNA from 1 species